GGGACACGUGGUAUCCUGUCUGAAUAUGGGGGGACCAUCCUCCAAGGCUAAAUACUCCUGACUGACCGAUAGUGAACCAGUACCGUGAGGGAAAGGCGAAAAGAACCCCGGCGAGGGGAGUGAAAAAGAACCUGAAACCGUGUACGUACAAGCAGUGGGAGCACCUUCGGGUGUGACUGCGUACCUUUUGUAUAAUGGGUCAGCGACUUAUAUUCUGUAGCAAGGUUAACCGUAUAGGGGAGCCGCAGGGAAACCGAGUCUUAACUGGGCGUUAAGUUGCAGGGUAUAGACCCGAAACCCGGUGAUCUAGCCAUGGGCAGGUUGAAGGUUGGGUAACACUAACUGGAGGACCGAACCGACUAAUGUUGAAAAAUUAGCGGAUGACUUGUGGCUGGGGGUGAAAGGCCAAUCAAACCGGGAGAUAGCUGGUUCUCCCCGAAAGCUAUUUAGGUAGCGCCUCGUGAAUUCAUCUUCGGGGGUAGAGCACUGUUUCGGCUAGGGG
rnacentral:rRNA from 1 species